rnacentral:rRNA from 1 species
UACGGGGGGGCAAGCGUUGUUCGGAAUUACUGGGCGUAAAGGGCUCGUAGGCGGCCGACUAAGUCAGACGUGAAAUCCCUCGGCUUAACCGGGGAACUGCAUCUGAUACUGGAUGGCUUGAGUUCGGGAGAGGGAUGCGGAAUUCCAGGUGUAGCGGUGAAAUGCGUAGAUAUCUGGAGGAACACCGGUGGCGAAGGCGGCAUCCUGGACCGACACUGACGCUGAGGAGCGAAAGCCAGGGGAGCAAACGGG